GGUUUCCAUACAAUCACAAAAGUUAAGCAACGUCAAGCCUGGUCAGUACAUAGAUGGGUGACCGCUUGGGAAUACAAGGUGCUGUAAG